UCGAGAAUCAUUCGCAAUGGGCGAAAGCCUGACGAUGCGACGCUGCGUGAGCGAAGAAGGCCUUCGGGUUGUAAAGCUCUUUCGCUUGGGAAUAAGAGAUGUUGGCUAACAUCCAACAGAUUUGAACGUACUAGGUAAAGAAGCACCGGCUAACUCCGUGCCAGCAGCUGCGGUAAUACGGAGGGUGCAAGCAUUAAUCGGAUUUAUUGGGCGUAAAGGGCGCGUAGGCGGGCAUGAAAGUCAGAUGUGAAAUCCCGGGGCUCACCCCCGGAACAGCAUUUGAAACUCCAUGUCUAGAGGGUAGGCGGAGAAAACGGAAUUCCACAAGUAGCGGUGAAAUGCGUAGAUAUGUGGAAGAACACCAGUGGCGAAGGCGGUUUUCUAGCUUAUUCCUGACGCUGAGGCGCGAAAGCAAGGGGAUCAAACAGGAUUAGAUACCCGUGUAGUCC
rnacentral:rRNA from 1 species